rnacentral:rRNA from 1 species
GACGAACGCUGGCGGCGUGCUUAACACAUGCAAGUCGAACGGAAAGGCCUGCUUUCCCUUGUGGAUUGCGGGUACUCGAGUGGCGAACGGGUGAGUAACACGUGAGUGAUCUGCCCCCAACUUGGGUAUAAGCCUGGGAAACUGGGUCUAAUUCCCGAUAGGACCGCAGGGUGGUGCCUGUGGUGGAAAACGAUUUUCUAGUGGUUGGGGAUGAGCUCGCGGCCUAUCAGCUUGUUGGUGGGGUAAUGGCCUACCAAGGCGGCGACGGGUAGCCGGCCCGGGAUAGUGGACGGGCACAGUGGGACUGAGACACGGCCCAGACGCCUACGGGAAGCAGCAGUGGGGAAUAAGGCGCAAUGAGCGGAAGCCUGAUGCAGCGACGCCGCGUGGGGGAUGACGGCCUUCGGGUUGUAAACUCCUUUCGGCCGCGAGGAAGCCACCUGGUUGGAAGGGUAGUGACGGUAGUGGUAGAAGAAGCACCGGCUAACUACGUG